rnacentral:rRNA from 1 species
AGCCACCUGGGGAGUACGCCGGCAACGGUGAAACUCAAAGGAAUUGACGGGGGCCCGCACAAGCGGAGGAACAUGUGGUUUAAUUCGAUGAUACGCGAGGAACCUUACCUGGGCUUAAAUGGGGAGUGACAGCUGCCGAAAGGUGGUUUUCUUCGGACACUCUUCAAGGUGCUGCAUGGUUGUCGUCAGCUCGUGCCGUGAGGUGUCGGGUUAAGUCCCAUAACGAGCGCAACCCUUACCGUUAGUUACCAUCAGGUCAUGCUGGGGACUCUAGCGGGACUGCCACCGUAAGGUGAGAGGAAGGUGGGGAUGACGUCAAAUCAGCACGGCCCUUAUGUCCAGGGCUACACACGUGUUACAAUGGCCGGUACAAAGGGCAGCUACUGGGCGACCAGAUGCUAAUCUCAAAAGCCGGUCUCAGUUCGGAUCGAAGUCUGCAACCCGACUUCGUGAAGCUGGAUUCGCUAGUAAUCGCGCAUCAGCCAUGGCGCGGUGAAUACGUUCCCGGGCCUUGUACACACCGCCCGUCAAACCAUGGAAGUUGGGGGUACCUGAAGUCUG